ACUUUCAGCAACGGAUCUCUNGGCUCNCGCANCGAUGAAGAACGCAGCGAAAUGCGAUAAGUAAUGUGAAUUGCAGAAUUCAGUGAAUCAUCGAAUCUUUGAACGCACCUUGCGCUCCUUGGUAUUCCGAGGAGCAUGCCUGUUUGAGUGUCAU
rnacentral:rRNA from 1 species